GUUACUUAACCUCUCUGAGCCUGCCUUCUGACCUGGAAGAUGAGGACAACAAGAAUAUUUAUCUCAUAGUGUUGUCCUGAGGAUUCCACGGGAAGCCUUGGUACAGAGCCUGGCAUGUCGCAAGUGCUCAGUAAAUGUCGGCUUGGACCCAACACUCACAGCUAUCCCUGGGCAAGUUACUUAAUCUCUGAGUCUUCAUUUCCUCACCUGUCCAGCAGGGAUUGGCAUAUGUAAUUGACAGGGGGGUGGCUGUGAGGAUUCAGUGAGAACGAACAUAAGGCAAUUAACAGCACCUAGCACUGGAAAAAUUAAUGGAGGCUGAAAUAACUGAGUAAUGAGAGAGCAGUGGAUUUCUCUAGAACUGGAAGGGACCACAGUCUAGUGCUCUACUUCAAAUGUAAAGAACAGACCUGGAAAGACGACAGCAACAACAGCCACUGCCUGCCCAGAGUGGUUCCCCGUGCCUGCCCCAAACGCAGACGCGUGCGCUCAGUGACUGAUGAAGGCUGCCCCUCACAUCCAGUCUGCUGUCAGACCUGCCUCUCCUCCUCCCUGGCAUCCCCCUC
rnacentral:lncRNA from 1 species